CCAAGGCUUUGGGGACUAGGCCGGGCCCCUGCACCGGAAGGGAGGGCGGAAGCCAAGGGGCGUGGAGCGGGGCGUGAGAGUGGUGGGUAGGCGGCCGCGGGGGAUGGCCUGAAGAAAAACUGCGAGUGAGUCGCCCCGCGGGGUAGAAGUACCUGGAUCCAGGCGCCUCGUCUGGGAAGAACGAGGUUAGAAAGAACGAGUUAGAGGGAAGAAAAUAGCGCCCUCUUAUGACGGAGGGAGAUCUGAAUUGAGGGGAGAAGGCUGAGGUGCACCGAAGUGGCGGCGGCGCUGAGGUCAGCCUGAGCUGAGAGGGCAGGCAGAUCAACCCUCAACCGAAGUGAACGAACUCGAGUGAGCUCUUCUCUUCUUCAGGAAAUUACUCCAGGAUUUGAAUCGUCACAAGAGAUUCACCAGAGGAUUUUAUACACAUGGGCUGUGGCAGCAGAUUAUACCACAACACCAGGUGACCAAAGCAUUAUUCACUGUCCACAGAUGAGUGUACACCUGUACCACAAGCUACUCCUCCUUCCUGGCUGAGAGGACCUCAAGGUGUACUGCUAAAAAUUCUGCCCUCUGGGAGUUUCUUCACCGUUUCCCUUCAGCAGCAUCUUUGAGACUCUGCAGUGCCAUUACUGUUAUAUAUGAAGUGUCCAUUUAUGUGUGAGUCAUUGCAUAUCUUGGUUAUACUCCAUUGAUUUAUUUGUCAAUUUCUGUGACAAUGUCAUAUGUCUUUAUCAUUUUACUUUAUAAUCAUUAUUAAUAUUUAGUACAGCAAGAAUUCCCAUCUUAUUUUUUAAAAGAGUGUUUUGGAUAUUCUUGGCCUUUAAAUUUUCCAUAAAGUUUAAAGUUAGUCUGUCAGAUUCUAUCAAAAUACCCUAUUGGGAAUAUUUACUGGGAUUGAACUGAAUCAUUAAGUCAUUUUAGAGUGAACUGACAUUUUUAUACUAUUGGACCUUCCAAUUCACCAUUUACAUCAGUCUUUAGUGUCUUUGAAUAGACAUAAAAGUCUUAUAUAUCUUUUGAUAUAUUUGUUUGUAGAUACUUGAGUUUUUUAGGCUAAAAAGUCAUCUUUAAAAAAUUAUUUGCCAACAAUUUAUGGCUGGUGUUUGGAAAUGUAGCUACUUUUGUCAUAUUGAUUCUUCAUCUAGGGAUUUUGCUAAAUGCUCUUAUAAUUCUAAUAAAUCUCUUUUCCCUACAUAUAUAAUUUACCAUCUGCAGAUAAUUAUACCAUUCACUUAUUUUUCUUAUCCUUCAUGUACUAGUUAGAAAUUGUAAUACAACAUAGAAUAGAAAUGGGGAUAUUGGGCACCCUUUAAUUGUUCCUGACUUUAGAGGAAAAGCUUUUGACAUAAACCAUUAAUUUUCUUUGGUUUUCUAUAGAUACUUUUUAUUAGAUUAGGAA